UACGUAGGGCGCAAGCGUUGUCCGGAAUUAUUGGGCGUAAAGAGCUUGUAGGCGGUUUGUCGCGUCUGCUGUGAAAUUUCGGGGCUCAACCCCGAACUUGCAGUGGGUACGGGCAGACUAGAGUGUGGUAGGGGAGACUGGAAUUCCUGGUGUAGCGGUGAAAUGCGCAGAUAUCGGGAGGAACACCUAUGGCGAAGGCAGCUCGCUGGGACGUUACUGACGCUGAGACGCGAAAGCGUGGGGAGCAAACAGG
rnacentral:rRNA from 1 species